rnacentral:rRNA from 1 species
GAUGAACGCUGGCGGCGUGCCUAAUACAUGCAAGUCGAGCGAACGGACGAGAAGCUUGCUUCUCUGAUGUUAGCGGCGGACGUGUGAGUAACACGUGGAUAACCUACCUAUAAGACUGGGAUAACUUCGGGAAACCGGAGCUAAUCCCGGAUAAUAUUUUGAACCGUAUGGUUCAAAAGUGAAAGACGGUCUUGCUGUCACUUAUAGAUGGAUCUGCGCUGCAUUAGCUAGUUGGUAAGGUAACGGCUUAUCAAGGCAACGAUGCAUAGCCGACCUGUGAGAGGGGUCGGCCACACGGGAGCGGGGACGGGGACAAGGCUACUGAGAGAGGCAGCAGUAGGGAAUCUUCCGCAGUGGGCGAGAGCCUGACGGAGCAGCGCCGCGUGAGAGAUGGAGGUCUUCCGAUCGUAAAACUCUGUUAUUAGGGAAAAACAUAUGUGUAAGUAACUGAGCACAUCUUGACGGUACCUGAUCAGAAAGCCACGGCUAACUACGUG